rnacentral:rRNA from 1 species
CCAAUAGCGUAUAUUAAAGUUGUUGCAGUUAAAAAGCUCGUAGUUGAAUUUCGGGAUCAAUACGUCGGUCGUGCCUCUGGUAUGUACUGGUGUUAUUGAUUCCUCCUUUCUGAUGAACCAUAAUGUCAUUAUUUUGGUGUUGUGGGGAGUCAGGACUGUUACUUUGAAAAAAUUAGAGUGUUUAAAGCAGGCCUACGCUUGAAUACCUUAGCAUGGAAUAAUGAACUAGGACGUUCGAACCUAUUUUGUUGGUUUCUAGGAUCAACGUAAUGAUUAAUAGGGAUAGUUGGGGGCAUUAGUAUUCAAUUGUCAGAGGUGAAAUUCUUGGAUUUAUUGAAGACUAACUACUGCGAAAGCAUUUGCCAAGGAUGUUUUCAUUAAUCAAGAACGAAAGUUAGGGGAUCGAAGACGAUCAGAUACCGUCGUAGUCUUAACCAUAAACUAUGCCGACUAGGGAUCGGAUGAUGUUAAUUUCUUAAUGACUCAUUCGGCGCCUUACG